GGCGACGCGAACACUCGAGGAGGCUUUUACGACGCCGAGAUCCUCGAACUGACGGGGCUGUGCAUUCUACAAAGGGCAGCGAUCGGACUGUCCUCUCAUCUCGACAACUUUUCUGUCGCUGUACCAUCAUAACGCUACUGUUCGAUGGAUAAUUCGUUUUCAGGACUACCUGUGGCUCGGCUGUUGAUGCGGGAGGUGCUGUAGGGCCCUACUGCCUAACACUUGCUGACGAGGACAUCCUUGCAAAGAAUGAGAUCGUGGAUCCUAGCAUCGGCCUCCAGAAAAGGAAGGAAUGGGGACACGUUUUCCAGGGAGCCGCGAGCUGCACUUGGACCCGCAAAGAGCCGCGUGCAGCUCGCGAGCCUCACUUUGGUCACUCCUG